GGGGAUGUAGCUCAGUGGUAGAGCGCAUGCUUCGCAUGUAUGAGGACCAGGGUUCGAUCUCCUGCAUUUCCA
rnacentral:tRNA from 1 species